ACAAUCUUUGAUUCUUGUGCUGUGUGACAUAUGCCUUUUGUGAUGUUUCAGUGAUGUCUUCUAGACAGUUGAGUCCUGUUACCUGAUGUUAGGAUACUUGAAAGGAUCUUGUAUGUGUUUUGGUAUUAGUAGUAUCACCGUGAAUACAUAUCAUAGAAUUCGUCAGAAUCUAACCAUUUCCAGUUAAUCCUACAAGAAGACUAUCAUCGGGAGCCGCCUGAAUCGUCAGAUGAACCGCUACGUCGUCGUUGCCCUUUUUUUUUUGAAUGUUAGAAGAUUACGAAACCGGAGGCAAGAUCUAACAAAAACGAAGAAAUUUGCACGAGAACGUCGCGAACACUGCAGCACGCAAAAUGAACCACCACGAGAGAGGAAGAAGGGGUAUAGAGCGCGUGUGUGUGUGUGCGUGUUUCAUUACUCUCCCAUAGUAAGCUGUGCUGCUCCCCUACGCAAAUUUUCGUCGGAGCGUCGUCAUUGCGUGUGUUUGAAGCUGCCAAACCCUGCCCCGAAACGAAAAACGCACCCCAAAAAUUGUUCGAAUAGGGGAGAAUUAGUGAGAAUUCACCAGUGCGUGUGCGUGUGUGUCCAUUUUGAGACGGGGAGAGAGAGAGAGAGAGAGCAGAAAUUCAUGAGUGCGCUAAACUUCGCGAACGAAACCGAGAGAAGGAGAGAGCUCACAUAAGAGGGGUUAAAAAGAAGGAUGAAGAGAGCGCGUACGUACAGCGGAAUGUAUUCUUGAGCGAAAGCGAGAGGCAUCAGAGCAACCUGAAGCGAGAGAUACAACAGCAAACAAAAAAAAACAGAAAAAACCCGGAAGUACCGCAACCCCCGUUUAUGUCAAAAACGCAACCCCUAUCGUGCGGCGAUCGGGGGUAGGGGUGAGAUCGAGCGCGAGCGUUUCGUGAGAGAAAACUACCGAAAAACCCUCUCCUUCGGCGCGAGAGCGAAACGCGCCCUGGCUCGUGGGGGGAUGUUCAGCGUUCAGGGCAACCGAUCGGAUGCCUCCGGUUUUAUUGAAGUUUGAAUUUGGGCAGCGUUCGGAUCGGGGUAGUACAGCCUCUCGUGCACUGGCUGGCAGCUCGGUCGUGCCUCCGCUGCUCCCCAGUGUGUAUGUGUGUCCGAGUGUGUUCCUGUGUAUGUGUAUGUGUGUGUGUGUGUGUGCACAUACACACGGGGUGAUGGCGCUUUUGCGUUCGCGGCUGGCCGUCACUUUUCCUUGUGAAGGGAUCCUGGACAGUGGUUAGUGCCGCUAGUAGUAGUGCCCGUUUACCGUCGUCGUCCCGUACAGUACGCUUUCUCCACCCGGGUCGUGUGGUGGUCCUUUCGCCGUCCGGUUUGGGGUGCAAUGUCCUUUCGAAUGCUGAACCAACAACAUCAUCAGCAGCAGCAGCCGUAGCCGUAUCCUUAGCAACUAUCUUAGUUUGCAGUGUUAUAAGUGUGAGCUACAUGCAUCGAAGUUUUGUGGAAUCGGAUCGAGAACUAGUAUUUUAGAAGUAGUUUAGAAGUUUGUGUUUUGAGUGAUUUUUUUAAAUAAUGAAACCGGUCGCUAAACUUUCCAGUGUUUGCAGUAAUGGAUGUGCGUGCUUUACUUCCUAUGCCAUCGUUGAGUGCAGUUUUGAGUUGCAAUUUUUCGGCCAGCUGAGUGCAUUCGUUUGAGUCGCUUUGUGUUUCAUCGGUUUUUGCUUGGUUGGUUUCUGUUUUGCAAGUGUAUUGUGGAAUUGAAACGAUUGACACUUCCUUCAAAUCAACGCUGCCGAUGUUUAGUUGCCGCCGUGUACACACAAGAGUGCUGCUUGCAGUGCAUUUUUUGUUAAUUUUCUGUUUGAAUACAACGCUGAGUGUUUGCAAGAAAGCUGCUGCUGCUGCUGUUAUAAAAAAGAUGCUAGUAAUUCACUUUCCCCAUCGGCCCAACCCAACCGCACCAGGCUCCCGAUUAGAAACGUCCUCUUGGUACGGACUGUGGUGGUGACCAAAAGUCAGCUGUAAUUUCGGAGAAUCAACAUCGCCACUGCGCCAUGUACACAGUGCACUCUCACCACCAGUUUACGUGCGUGGCUGUGGGCAAUCACAUCACUUGCUUUUCUAAAUUCAUCAACCGAGCAGCGCGCGUCCUGGACUGCAGUUUGGAGCUGCAAUUUAGCAGA